rnacentral:rRNA from 1 species
CUGAACCAGCCAAGUAGCGUGAAGGAUGACUGCCCUAUGGGUUGUAAACUUCUUUUAUACGGGAAUAAAGUGAGCCACGUGUGGCUUUUUGUAUGUACCGUAUGAAUAAGGAUCGGCUAACUCCGUGCCAGCAGCCGCGGUAAUACGGAGGAUCCGAGCGUUAUCCGGAUUUAUUGGGUUUAAAGGGAGCGUAGGUGGACAGUUAAGUCAGUUGUGAAAGUUUGCGG